UACGUAGGGUGCAAGCGUUAAUCGGAAUUACUGGGCGUAAAGCGUGCGCAGGCGGUUUUGUAAGUCUGUCGUGAAAGCCCCGGGCUCAACCUGGGAAUUGCGAUGGAGACUGCAAGGCUUGAAUCUGGCAGAGGGGGGUAGAAUACCACGUGUAGCAGUGAAAUGCGUAGAGAUGUGGAGGAACACCGAUGGCGAAGGCAGCCCCCUGGGUCAAGAUUGACGCUCAUGCACGAAAGCGUGGGGAGCAAACAGG
rnacentral:rRNA from 1 species